UACGUAGGGUGCAAGCGUUGUCCGGAAUUAUUGGGCGUAAAGAGCUCGUAGGCGGUCUGUCGCGUCGGCUGUGAAAACUCGGGGCUCAACCCCGAGCCUGCAGUCAAUACGGGCAGACUAGAGUGCUGUAGGGGAGACUGGAAUUCCUGGUGUAGCGGUGAAAUGCGCAGAUAUCAGGAGGAACACCGGUGGCGAAGGCGGGUCUCUGGGCAGUAACUGACGCUGAGGAACGAAAGCGUGGGGAGCGAACAGG
rnacentral:rRNA from 1 species